rnacentral:rRNA from 1 species
CCCUUAGAUGGUCUGGGCGGCACGCGCGCUACAAUGAUGCAUUCAAAAAGUCUUCUGACCUUAGAAGGUUGGGUAUUCUCCAAAGUGCAUCGUGAUGGGAAUAGUUUAUUGCAAUUUUUAAUCUUGAACGAGGAAUUCCUAGUAAGUACAGGUCAUCAACUUGUGUUGAUUACGUCCCUGCCCUUUGUACACACCGCCCGUCGCUCCUACCGAUUGGGUGAGCCGAUGAAACUCUCGGAUGUAGGCUAUUCAUAGCCCGCAGAAGAGAUUUGAAUCGUAGCGCUUAGAGGAAGGAGAAGUCGUAACA